rnacentral:rRNA from 1 species
UACAGAGACUGCGAGCGUUAUUCGGAUUCACUGGGCGGAAAGGGUGCGCAGGUGGCCAGGUGUGUGAGGCGUGAAAGCCCGGGGCUUAACCCCGGAAUUGCACCUCAAACUACUUGGCUAGAGCAUUGGAGAGGGGAGCAGAAUUCAUGGUGUAGCAGUGAAAUGCGCAGAUAUCAGGAGGAACACCGGUGGCGAAGGCGGUUCUCUGGGCAGUAACUGACGCUGAGGAGCGAAAGCGUGGGGAGCGAACAGG